GAUCAGUGCUCGGGAUGAACGCUAGCUACAGGCUUAACACAUGCAAGUCGAGGGGCAGCAUGGUCUUAGCUUGCUAAGGCCGAUGGCGACCGGCGCACGGGUGAGUAACACGUAUCCAACCUGCCGUCUACUCUUGGACAGCCUUCUGAAAGGAAGAUUAAUACAAGAUGGCAUCAUGAGUCCGCAUGUUCACAUGAUUAAAGGUAUUCGUGGUAGACGAGUGGG
rnacentral:rRNA from 1 species